CCUCCAUUCUCUAUCACCAUCUGCCAUUUGACCCUCUCCCACAUAUUAUUUAGGCAUCUCUAGGGCUGCCAUCAGUGGGGUGUCUGGAUAUAUUUGUGCCUAUAUUUGUGUGUCUGCUAGUGUGUGUUUGUACAUGUGUCUGGCAGUUUGUAUUUGUGUACAAGAGGGUGUAUAUGGCAGUGUUUAAAUGUUCAUGUGUCUGUCAGAGUGUAUCUGUGUG